UACGUAGGGUGCGAGCGUUGUCCGGAAUUAUUGGGCGUAAAGAGCUUGUAGGCGGUCUGUCGCGUCUGCUGUGAAAAUCCGGGGCUCAACCCCGGACUUGCAGUGGGUACGGGCAGACUAGAGUGUGGUAGGGGAGACUGGAAUUCCUGGUGUAGCGGUGAAAUGCGCAGAUAUCUGGAGGAACACCGGUGGCGAAGGCGGCAUCCUGGACCGAUACUGACGCUGAGGAGCGAAAGCCAGGGGAGCAAACGGG
rnacentral:rRNA from 1 species